rnacentral:rRNA from 1 species
GAAUACCAAGGCGCUUGAGAGAACUCGGGUGAAGGAACUAGGCAAAAUGGCACCGUAACUUCGGGAGAAGGUGCGCCGGCUAGGGUGAAGGAUUUACUCCGUAAGCUCUGGCUGGUCGAAGAUACCAGGCCGCUGCGACUGUUUAUUAAAAACACAGCACUCUGCAAACACGAAAGUGGACGUAUAGGGUGUGACGCCUGCCCGGUGCCGGAAGGUUAAUUGAUGGGGUUAGCGCAAGCGAAGCUCUUGAUCGAAGCCCCGGUAAACGGCGGCCGUAACUAUAACGGUCCUAAGGUAGCGAAAUUCCUUGUCGGGUAAGUUCCGACCUGCACGAAUGGCGUAACGAUGGCGGCGCUGUCUCCACCCGAGACUCAGUGAAAUUGAAAUCGCUGUGAAGAUGCAGUGUAUCCGCGGCUAGACGGAAAGACCCCGUGAACCUUUACUGUAGCUUUGCACUGGACUUUGAGCCUGCUUGUGUAGGAUAGGUGGGAGGCUUUGAAGCGUGGACGCCAGUUCGCGUGGAGCCAUCCUUGAAAUACCACCCUGGCAUGCUUGAGGUUCUAACUCUGGUCCGUAAUCCGGAUCGAGGACAGUGUAUGGUGGGCAGUUUGACUGGGGCGGUCUCCUCCUAAAGAGUAACGGAGGAGUACGAAGGUGCGCUCAGACCGGUCGGAAAUCGGUCGUAGAGUAUAAAGGCAAAAGCGCGCUUGACUGCGAGACAGACACGUCGAGCAGGUACGAAAGUAGGUCUUAGUGAUCCGGUGGUUCUGUAUGGAAGGGCCAUCGCUCAACGGAUAAAAGGUACUCCGGGGAUAACAGGCUGAUACCGCCCAAGAGUUCAUAUCGACGGCGGUGUUUGGCACCUCGAUGUCGGCUCAUCACAUCCUGGGGCUGAAGCCGGUCCCAAGGGUAUGGCUGUUCGCCAUUUAAAGUGGUACGCGAGCUGGGUUUAGAACGUCGUGAGACAGUUCGGUCCCUAUCUGCCGUGGACGUUUGAGAUUUGAGAGGGGCUGCUCCUAGUACGAGAGGACCGGAGUGGACGAACCUCUGGUGUUCCGGUUGUCACGCCAGUGGCAUUGCCGGGUAGCUAUGUUCGGAAAAGAUAACCGCUGAAAGCAUCUAAGCGGGAAACUUGCCUCAAGAUGAGAUCUCACUGGGAACUUGAUUCCCCUGAAGGGCCGUCGAAGACUACGACGUUGAUAGGCUGGGUGUGUAAGCGUUGUGAGGCGUUGAGCUAACCAGUACUAAUUGCCCGUGAGGCUUGACCAU